GGAAAUAGCCCCUAUUAAUGGAAAUGGAGCAAAUUCAUUCUUAAUGGCUGCAUAGAAGGGAGUUUCUCACUUUCAUUCUGAGCUAGUCUGAUGGAUAUAAAUGGGACUUCUAUUUGCCAAGAGACUGACUUAAGAUUUGAGCUGUAGCACUCAUGCCUCUCCAGAUCUCCAGCCUGCCGGUCUACCUGUCAGAUUACGGACUUGCCAGCCUCUACAAUCAAGACUAAUGAAGGAAUCCCAGAGAUAGCGCUUUUGGGAAAGGAAAAACCUCCCCUUCUCUGCAGCUAGACACUGAGCAUCACAAAAGUGCAUCCAGUUUCCUUUGGCUCAAAGGAGCUGAUGGAAAAUUAUCAUCAGGAACUACAUUUACCAGCUCCCUUGCAUCUAAAGAAAAUGAAAUGACCAGUUCUGGCUAAUGGUACAUGACCAAGGAAGCUUGGAGCUUUAAGAUGGAAAUAAAUGUGUCCCUGAGUCAACUUUGGCAUGAUACGUACCCAAAGAAGUCUCACUUAAGAAGAAGACUUUGCAGGAGAGAAAAACAACAACAACAACAACAACA